rnacentral:rRNA from 1 species
UGGGGAAUUUUGCACAAUGGGGGAAACCCUGAUGCAGCGACGCCGCGUGAUUUAGAAGGCCUUCGGGUUGUAAAAAUCUUUUUUACGGGAUGAAAAUGACAGUACCGUAAGAAUAAGGUCCGGCUAAAUACGUGCCAGCAGCCGCGGUAAUACGUAUGGACCGAGCGUUGUCCGGAAUCAUUGGGCGUAAAGGGUACGUAGGCGGCCUAGUAAGUUAGAAGUGAAAUAAUAUAGCUCAACUAUAUAAAGCUUUUAAAACUGCUAGGCUUGAGAGAUGGAAGGGAAAGUGGAAUUCCUAGUGUAGCGGUGAAAUGCGCAGAUAUUAGGAAGAAUACCGGUGGCGAAGGCGACUUUCUGGUCAUAAUCUGACGCUGAGGUACGAAAGCGUGGGUAGCAAACAGG